rnacentral:lncRNA from 10 species
GAGGCCUGGAAGAAGGGGGGUCCCCAGGUACCGGACGGCUCCCCAGGCAGACUUGAGCGGGGAAGCAGGGGAGUCCCUGGGUACCAGACAGCAUCCCAGGCAGACUUCAGGGGGGCAUAUGGUUUGGCGGCCCCAGAAUCCUGAGCAGGUCCCGGCCUCUGCUCUGCCAGCUGCCGCUGCUGGGCAACCUCAGGCAGACCCUUCUUCCUGCCUCUGGCUGCAAAGCCUGCCUCACCCCAGGGCCCCUUCCCACAGGUGCCUCCCUCCACAUCAGAAACGGCUUAGAAUCCGCCACCCACGCCCCGUCUGUCCUUGAUAGGGAAGCCCUGGACAGCAGCGGAUUUCCCUGCAGGUGCUGAAAGGGGCAAACCCCACUUAGGGGCUCCUUGCAGGCUCCAGGCUUCAAGGAGAGGCCGGGGUGCCCAGGCUUCCUUCCUACCAUGGACAGGGCCCCAGGAGAUGGAGGGGUCUGAGUGGACCACAAGCCUCUCGCUUCAUCUGGGAAUGAGGAGGAGGCCGGGCCCCAUGUCCAGGGAGAGCAUGUGAACCAAGGAGGCUCCCGGACCACCACCCUCGUCCACCACACCCACUCCCAGGGCGUAGGUCCCAUCAUCCCCAGGUCCCCUGAGUGUGGAGAGACAUACUGACAUUUUCCAGCAGGACUGCACCAUACACCACGGCAAAACAGCCACAGGAGUCACGCAGCUUUGACCUGUCUCACCUGCCCCCUCCUGUUGUUCCUCCCCCAGCUCCGCCCAGAGAGAUGGAGACAGAGGGCCAAAGAGCAGGAGAUCGCUGGACACUCGCCGAAGAGCGGGAGAUCGCUGGACACUCGCCGUUGGCAUCAUGUGGGGUGCUCCAUGGCUUCCAAUUGGCCAAAUUCUUUUCAGUGUUAAAAUGCUGUAAAAUAUAAAACAUAUGUAAUUUCUUGACAAAAA